CCUACGGGAGGCAGCAGUGGGGAAUAUUGGACAAUGGGCGCAAGCCUGAUCCAGCCAUGCCGCGUGAGUGAAGAAGGCCCUAGGGUUGUAAAACUCUUUCAGCAGGGAAGAUGAUGACGGUACCUGCAGAAGAAGCCCCGGCCAACUCCGUGCCAGCAGCCGCGGUAAUACGGAGGGGGCAAGCGUUGUUCGGAAUUACUGGGCGUAAAGCGCGCGUAGGCGGUUAGCAUAGUCAGGCGUGAAAUCCCGGGGCUCAACCUCGGAACUGCGCUUGAUACUGGCUAACUAGAGGUCUGGAGAGGGUAGUGGAAUUCCCAGUGUAGAGGUGAAAUUCGUAGAUAUUGGGAAGAACACCAGCGGCGAAGGCGGCUACCUGGACAGAUACUGACGCUGAGGUGCGAAAGCGUGGGGAGCAAACAGGAUUAGAUACCCUUGUAGUC
rnacentral:rRNA from 1 species